rnacentral:rRNA from 1 species
AGAGUUUGAUCCUGGCUCAGGAUGAACGCUAGCGGGAGGCUAAUACAUGCAAGUCGAACGGAAAUGGUAGCAAUACUAUGAGAGUGGCGUACGGGUGCGUAACGCGUACACAAUCUGCCCUGUACUGGGGGAUAGCCUUGGGAAACUGAGAUUAAUACCCCAUAACUUUGCGCUAUGGCAUCAUAGUGCAAUUAAAGCUCCGGCGGUACAGGAUGAGUGUGCGUCCGAUUAGGUAGUUGGCGGGGUAACGGCCCACCAAGCCGACGAUCGGUAGCUGGUCUGAGAGGACGAUCAGCCACACGGGCACUGAGACACGGGCCCGACUCCUACGGGAGGCAGCAGUAGGGAAUAUUGGACAAUGGACGCAAGUCUGAUCCAGCCAUCCCGCGUGAAGGAUUAAGGCCCUAUGGGUUGUAAACUUCUUUUCUUUGGGAAUAAAAAGCGGUAUUCAUAUCGCCUUGAAGGUACCAGGGGAAUAAGCACCGGCUAACUCCGUGCCAGCAGCCGCGGUAAUACGGAGGGUGCAAGCGUUAUCCGGAUUCACUGGGUUUAAAGGGUGCGUAGGUGGUCUGUUAAGUCAGCGGUGAAAGCCUGGAGCUCAACUCCAGAACUGCCAUUGAUACUGACGGACUUGAAUCAAGUUGAGGUGGAUGGAAUAUUACAUGUAGCGGUGAAAUGCUUAGAUAUGUAAUAGAACACCGAUUGCGAAGGCAGUUCACUAAGCUUGCAUUGACACUGAGGCACGAAAGCGUGGGGAUCAAACAGGAUUAGAUACCCUAGUAGUCC